AAUUCUCUGCUUGCAGAGAAUGGAUUAGUGGCGAACGGGUGAGUAACACGUGGGUAACCUGCCCAUAAGAGGGGGAUAACAUUCGGAAACGGAUGCUAAUACCGCAUAGGUCCUUGAGACGCCUGUCUCAAGUGAUGAAAGGUGGCUUCGGCUGCCGCUUAUGGAUGGACCCGCGGCGUAUUAGCUAGUUGGUGAGGUAAUGGCUCACCAAGGCUGUGAUACGUAGCCGACCUGAGAGGGUGAUCGGCCACACUGGGACUGAGACACGGCCCAGACUCCUACGGGAGGCAGCAGUAGGGAAUCUUCCACAAUGGGUGAAAACCUGAUGGAGCAAUACCGCGUGAGUGAAGAAGGUCUUCGGAUCGUAAAGCUCUGUUGUUAGAGAAGAACAAGUCGGGUAGUAACUGCCCCGACCUUGACGGUAUCUAACCAGAAAGUCACGGCUAACUACGUGCCAGCAGCCGCGGUAAUACGUAGGUGACAAGCGUUGUCCGGAUUUAUUGGGCGUAAAGCGAGCGCAGGCGGUCUUUUAAGUCUGAUGUGAAAGCCCACGGCUCAACCGUGGAGGGUCAUUGGAAACUGGAAGACUUGAAUGCAGAAGAGGAAAGUGGAAUUCCAUGUGUAGCGGUGAAAUGCGUAGAUAUAUGGAGGAACACCAGUGGCGAAGGCGACUUUCUGGUCUGUAAUUGACGCUGAGGCUCGAAAGCGUGGGGAGCGAACAGGAUUAGAUACCCUGGUAGUCCACGCCGUAAACGAUGAGUGCUAAGUGUUGGAGG
rnacentral:rRNA from 1 species